rnacentral:rRNA from 1 species
GGGGCGCAGCAGGCGCGAAACCUUUACACUGCACGACAGUGCGAUAAGGGAAUCCCAAGUGCGUAGGCAUAGAGCCUACGCUUUUGUCUACCGUAGGGAGGUAGAGGAAUAAGGGCUGGGCAAGACCGGUGCCAGCCGCCGCGGUAAUACCGGCAGCCCAAGUGAUGGCCGAUAUUAUUGGGCCUAAAGCGUCCGUAGCUGGCCGCACAAGUCCAUCGGGAAAUCCACCCGCUCAACGGGUGGGCGUCCGGUGGAAACUGUGUGGCUUGGGACCGGAAGGCGCGACGGGUACGUCCGGGGUAGGAGUGAAAUCCUGUAAUCCUGGACGGACCGCCGAUGGCGAAAGCACGUCGAGAAAACGGAUCCGACAGUGAGGGACGAAAGCUAGGGUCUCGAACCGGAUUAGAUACCCGGGUAGUCCUAGCCGUAAACAAUG